ACUGACCGACAUGUUGUGGAUGGAGAGUGUGGAGAGUUGGAAAAAAUAAGAAAACUGAAGUCUAAAGCAAAUUUCCUGUACGAUUAAUACCGUUUUGUAAUCAUCUCAGUAAGCAAUUGAAAUUUGCGAGCAAACUUCAGUUUACUUACCUUUUCCAACUCUCCACACUCUCCAUCGACAACAUGUCCAUCAGU